CUAAAGGGUUCUUAUCUUCACCAUGUUGUAAGUGUGCUACAGAUCUGUAAUUGUAAACUAGAAUAAGUUACUGCCUUACUAAUACAUAUAUCUUUUUUUGUUUUGACAAGUUAGAUGCAUGAUUGUAGAUGUCAUACUGGACAAAAUCAAGUUUCAAAUCAUAAUGUAGUUUCUUCAUCUUCAAAUGAAAACUGCACAAACAAUCCAGGAAGAUAUAAUCAGCUAUGUACGGCAAAGAAUGUUUAUAAUAUGAGACUGUGAAAUGAUGAAAAUGGAAAUUCAAAUUGGUCAUACUAGUCUACAGGAUGACUCAAGAGAAGGCCAUUCUAUAAGGUCAUGUUGUCUGUGUUUUAGGAGAGCAAAAGUUGGUUGUAUUGACAGAUUACUUACAAAAAGGAUUGAUACUAAUAGGAGCAUACUAAGGAAUUUGCUACAAAAAUUACAGGACAGUAUCAAGGAAAAAAGAUGUGGUUUGUUAUCAAAAGAUAUGUUGCUGCUAU
rnacentral:lncRNA from 1 species